AGAAGACGUACCAACAAAAUUAUUCGUAUAAUAUAUAGUAUCACUUUUGAGUGUCUUACAUAGCAAUCUUCAUUUGAAAACAUAACUAACGGAUUACCAUCAGCUUUAUAAAGUAACAAUUUGCCCACUAAUCACAAUUGAUAUGAGAGCACCUAAUAACAUUUUUUUUAUAUAUCGGUGCAGAUCUUACUAAUAGGGUUACAUGAAUUACAAAUUUUUAUGAAUAAAUGACCUCAAUUCUUUUUUUUCAACAUUAAAUCAAUCAACUAGCAAAUACAACCAAAAAAAAACUAAGAAAACAGUUUAAAAUAAAACAAACAAAAUAAGCAAAGACUACUGAAAAAACCUAACAAACAUGGCAUGGGCACACUGAUGGAGGCUAGGACCUCAAGUGUUCCAAUUGUGAAGCAGAGCGGCAAACCAAGCUCUUUGAGCUUCGUUGGAAGUUGCAGCCGAUGCGAUUCUUCCUUCCUUGUGUGGUGAUUUCAGGGUUGAGAGGAAGAGUGCGACCAAUUCCGGGAUAAGGACCGUCGGCCCCCUUUGAUUAGUUGUUGUCGGCAGGAGCUGGAUUCGCUGUCCUCCUCCUCCGUUGCUGGAGCCGUGUCGGGGCUGUUAUAAGAGAGAGCGACAUGGAGGCGGCCCCGCGAGAAGAGGCCGCCGUCCAUUUGUGCUUGGUGGCGGCGGCAGCGGCUUGAAGUUGCAGGAGCAGCGUUGAUGGUGGUUGUGAUGUCGAGAAAAUGGCGGUGGUGAUGGCUAUGAUUUGCGCAGAGAAGUCGUAAUUAUAACUAGAGGGAGGGAAGCUAUUGACUGCUACAUCAAGAUCUCCUCUUUG
rnacentral:lncRNA from 1 species